AGCGCAAAUAAACAGUUGUCUGUAGUGAUGUGAUUUCAGCAGAAAGAUUGGUCUUCUGUAGCCAAAGGCUGCUUGGCACAGUAAUCAGAUCCAGUGUGGGAGGACAUAAAUGCCCAGUCCUGUGCUAAUUAAUGUUUCUGGGAGUGCAGCUCUGCACUUUGACGGCUGCUCAUUGCACUGAUGCUGGCUGCUUGCUGUAUGCUGAGAGCAAAGCUCAGGUGUGCUUUGUGUGCUGGAAUCACUGAUAUCCCAUCACAUGGUAACAACCAGAUUGAUGCUACAAGAUGCUGCUGGCUGUGGCCUGUCUGGGGAAGCCCCUGGGAGCCACAACCCUGGGGUGGUGCUGUGUGUCCCUGCAGCAAUGCCAGGGCUGUGCCCUUGCUGGCUCUGGCAGCAGGAUGAUGGAGGUGCCCAUCAUCAUACCACAAGCCUGGCAGGGCAGGCAGGGAGCAGUGACUGCUGUAAUAGUGUCACCAUUUUCAAAACAAGGUCAGGCACCAUGCCUGUGGGUGAUGAUCCUCAUCAGGGGAUGGCAGGAGCUGUUUGGACAUGCAGGGUUGGAUUCCAACUGAUUCUGACACCAAGCAUCCUCCCUGCCCUUCUAUGACCUUAUGCCAUGCUCCCUGCGCUCAUACUGGCCCUGAUCUUCAUGUGCCUUGCCUAUCUCUUGCUUCUGAUCUAACCUUGCUGAGAGGACUCAUGCUUUGUAUUUGGGGCCAGCAUGGACCCCAGUGAGUCCAGGAGGCUCGGUGCAUCCAUGGGCAGGUGACCUCUGUGCAGCUGCAGCUCCACUGCAGGGUCAGCUUGCAUGUGAGUUACAAUUACUGUUGUAAUUACUGUGGGAGUAACUUUGCUGUAGAUUUGAAGGGUUUAAAUGGGGCAAAUCUUGUGGGAGAGGUAAUACCUUUUAUUAGGUGGAGAAAACAAAUCGCUUUCAGGUACGUGAGCCCUUCUUGACAUUAUUGUUGCUGUUAUUAUCCCAUAUUGGUGCUAUUAGAAACGAGGGCAUUGCAUUAGAGGGGAAGCACAUUAUGCAAGUGUUUAGACUUGCUGGUAACUGCUCUCUGCUGACAGCUAUUUGCUUAAUGAUAUGUUGGAGCAGAAGCCAACAGCAAGGACGAGCAGAAGGAGCCCUCCCUGGGCUGUGAUGCUCUGGGAAGAGGGCAGCAAAGACCUGGUGGUGGAGGUUCUUGCCCUCUAGCUCUAAAGAGACCCCAAAGUCUCAUCCUCUGUAUCAGAUAGGGCUCAGCCUCUGCUGUAUUCCCAAUGGAGUGCCCUGAAGAGCUUGCACAAGGUCAGGUUCAGUGCUACUGCCCAUGCUGGAGGCAGAAAUAUCUGCCAGUCUCUAUAGGUGUGAAUGUGACUGGUCAUGUUCUCAGUGUCAUGUGCUGUCUGGGGCAGGUUGCAGAGCCAGUUUUUCUGCUCCCAAAGUGGGACUUGGGGAGGAGACCGCAAUGCUCAAAUAGCAUCCGUGCUGCCCGCUGCUAGCCAGGUGCUGAGGAGCCCACUCGCCUUUCCUGCCCCAGGUGUGACCAACUCCUGUCCCAGCGUCCUUUGGCUGUGGUAAAAUGUCCACGAUCCUGAAAUGGUUUGGACGGGAAGAAAAGGAGAGAGAGGAGAAGGAAGAGGAGAAGAAACAGGAGGCAGAGGAGGAAAAGGACAAGGUAUGGGAAUGCUGGUGUGUGGUAGGAUGAGGCCAGUCCCAGAAGGGGUGUUGGUGGCAUGGGGAUGGAUGCUUUGUGCAGCAGCAGUGGGAGGACUUUAAAAGCCUCCAAAGAUUUAAUUUGUAUCCUGUCUGUGAAGGGCAGUGAUUCCUGACUUGUGGUAUUCACAGCUGGUGGUUGAUGCUGAGCCACCUGCAGACUGAACUCACUGUGUGUGUGUGGCUUUUCCAUUGACAGCCUGGGUCUUUCUAUCCAUGUAACUUCUCCCCAUCCUGAAUAGCAAAUGGGGGAGCAGGGCCCCUGGUGACCCUUUUCCUUCCCUCUUUGCAGGGAGCUGGGGACGAUGACAACAGGAGCAGCAGCAGCACAGAGAAUCCCCAGGAAGAGGGCCGUGCUGAGGAUGAUGAGAAGGAAGCCCAAGAGUAGAAUUGCUGAGUCCACCGAGGAGGUGGGGAUGCUGAAGGGGGUUGACCACUGGUAGUCAAAUAAAAGCAUUUGGAUCCCAAAGAGAGAUGCUAUUUAUUCAUCCCAGCGAGCUGUCCAUCCCCAAAACAGCUGUGAAAAGGCAGGUGGUGGGGAGCAGGUUUCUGAUCAAGGUCGUGAAAAAGGAUGGAGAGAAACUCUUACAUCUGAAUGGCAUUUCCUAUUGAUCGAAACCACAUCAAAAGCACUCACAGGGGAUAAAGUAACCCCAAGCCCAGGAUGCUGAGCGUGUGGCUGCUCCAUGCUUUGCCGUGGCUGGGAGAGCCAGGAAAAAAGGUAAAAGGGGGAAAAAUGAGCUCUCACCGCCAUCUACCGGGACUGGGAUGAGUGGCAGCGGGGUCGGGGGUUUCGUAACAACUCGCGGGGCGUUGUGUAUGGCUUCCUCCGAACGGCCUUAUGCCUUCAGUGGUGCCGAUUUCAGACCAUGUUGGGUUUAGCAGUCAACGUCGUGGAGGAUUUUACUUGAAACCGCAGAAUUUUUGGCUUUAAGUAUUGUUUUCUCGGAACAAAUGUGGCUGGCUCUUGUAUAACCACAGUAAACAGCAGGAGCGAUGCUGAGGAAUGUUGUCUUAAUUAACCGGCAUAGAGAUUAAAGGGAAAACAUGGAGACAGAACAAACAGACCAACCCAACAGCUAAAGUGGGUUCUGGAAGGCUGAGCCUAAGUGCGUUGUGGUCAGGAGAACAAGGACAUCUCAAUGUAAAACAGCCCCAUAGGGCACUGCAGUCUCCACUGCCCUCUGUGUCACUAUGUGGGACUCGUGCAUGGGAUACUGACUGCUUCCAAACAUGAAACACCCACAGUGUCUUUGGGCUUUGCUCCCACAGGAUGGGAAUCUCUGGGAUUCAGUGUUCAUAGUACCAUCCUCACGCUGCCCCAGAUUCCAGGUUUCAUGUGCUUGGAUCCAGUGUGUGCACAUCCUUGCAUUGCUGAG